AGCCCCAUGACCUGCUGCCAUUAUAUAUAUAUAUAUAUAUUACAAAAGCUUACUACCUUACUUCUAGUCAACAACUUCCUACCAACUACAAGCUUACCUAUUGACAGAAUAAACUAUGCUGUGAUAGUCAUUUUAAUCACCAAAAAUAAACAUUACAACUGAUUAUAAUACAUAUAAUUGCUACAAAAUAUGACAGUGAAAAUGACAAUAGACGUCAAUACUCCGCCUUGACAUUUCUGCUGGAAACACCAAGGCUUUUUCCUUAAUAUUUCAAACCUUCCUUUGGACAAAGACUUGGUAAGUAUGUCAGCAUAUUGGCUCUUUAGCUUUGCAGUGCACCAGCUUCACUUCGUGAUUUUCUUGUGCUUCCUUGAUUGUAUGAUACCUGAUCUUAAUGUGUUUUGUUCUUCCAUGGAGCACCGGACUUUUUACCAUGGCUACAGCUGAUUGAUUGUCACAAAAAAUUACAAUUGCAUCAGUUUGUUUAGCAUCCGAAUCCUCCAGCAUUUUCCUCAACCAAAUAGCUUGAUUAGUUGCCUCUAAUGCAGCUAUAUACUCUGCUUCUGCUAUUGAUUGAGCUACCAUUUUUUGCUUCAUUGUGUUCCAGCAAACUAGACUUGAUCCCAGAUAAAAAGCAUAUCCAGAGGUGCUCUUCAUAUCAUCUAAAGAUCCAGCCCAAUCACUGUCAGUAUAACCAACUAAAUCCAUGAUUUCUGACUUUCUAAACCAGAUUCCCAUUUCAACAUUCCCUCUGAUGUAUCUCAAGACCCUCUUUGCAGCUUGGAAAUGUACCUCACUUGGUUCUUGCCUAAAUCUGGAAAGCAAAUUUAUAGCAAAAGUGAUGUCUGGUCUUGUGAUCGUCAAAGACAUAAGGCGUCCAACCGAACUUCUGUAUAACUUUUUCAACAGUCUUCUUGCUUCCAUCAUCCUUCACCAGCUUUAUUUUUUGAACCAGAGGAGUACUUACUGGUUUUCAAUUUUCCAUGCUGAAUAUCUUCAAAAUUUCCUUGGCAUACCUCCUUUGAUAGAUAAAAAUGCCAUCUUGUGACUGGUUUAUUUCCAUUCCCAGAAAAUAUUUCAUCUCCCCUAAAUCUAUCAUUUCAAAUGCCUUCAUCAUUUUAGCCUUUGCUUUGUCAAUUAAGACCUUGCUACUGCCGGUUAUUAGAAGGUCAUCUACAUACGGGGAAAUGAUGAUUGACUCCUUCUACUUCUUUAUGUACAAGGUUUGCUCAUUAACAUUUCAUACGAACCCCAGGCAGCUCAAAUGUUCAUCAAUCCGGCUGUACCAAGCUCUUGGAGCUUGCUUCAAACCAUACAAGGCUUUCUUUAAUAGAUACACCUUGUCUUCUUCUCCAACCACCUGAAAACCAUCUUGUUGAUCAACAUAAAUUUUCUCAUUUAACCAUCCAUUUAAGAAAGCUGACUUAACAUCCAAUUGAUGGAUUUUCCAGCUUCUUUGACCAGCAAUGGCCAGCAACAAUCUGAUGGUUUCAUACCUUGCCACCAGAGCAAAUGUGUCCGUGUAAUCAACACCAUAUUGUUGAGCAUAACCCUUUACAACUAAUCUAGCUUUCAGCUUGUUAAUCGAACCAUCAGGAUUUAAUUUAGUUUUGAACACUCAUUUAACUCCUAUCACAUUCUUAUCCUUUGAUCUAUCAACAAGCACCCAAGUCUCAUUCUUUUCAAUCAUAUUCAACUCCUCCUUCAUUGCGUUCAUCCAUCCUUUUGAAUUUAUAGCUUCGUGGAAGUUUGAAGGCUCCAACACGGCUGAAUUACAUCUGGCAUAUAUAUCAGCAAGAGGCCUGGUUUUUAGCACUUCAUUUUCUGAGUCAGAAUUACUGUCAUGUUCAGGUUCAUCCUCAUUGACGGUGUCUUCAUUUUCUUGAGUUACCAACCUUGGAAUUUGAAUUUUAUCCAUGGUACUUGCUUCCCAAUUCCAUGAAGAUUCUUCAUCCACUUUAAUAUCCUUGCUGGAUAUGUUUUUCUUGGUUUGUGGAUUGUAUACUCUAAACCCCUUAGCAUUGCCACAAUAUCCAACCAAAAUACCAAUCUCUACCUUUUGACUCAGCUUAUCCCUCUUUACAUCUGGAAUAUGAGUGAAACAAAUGCUACCAAAUACUUUCAAAUGAGCAACAUCAGGUUUUACUCCAUACCAUGCUUCAAAGGGUGUCUUUUUAUCCAAAGCUUUUGUAGGUAAUCUAUUGAGUAGAUACAUAGCUGUGUUUACAACUUCAGCCCAAAAUUCCUUUGGCACAUUCUUCUCAAGCAUCAAACACCUAGCCAUCUCCAUUACUGUCCUAUUUUUCCUUUUACAAAUGCCAUUUUGCUAAGGAGAAUAAGGUACGGUCAACUGGUGUUUGAUUCCAACAUCAUCACAAAAUUUGUCAAACUGGUUACAGCAAUAUUCAGUACCAUUGUUUGAUCUGAUAGCCUUGAUUUUACAGUCACUUUCAUUUUCCACAAGGUUCUUAAAUUUCUGGAACACAUCUGCAACCUCUGAUUUUAUUUUCAAGAAAUACACCCAACACAUUCUUGUCAAAUCAUCUAUAAAAAGCACAAAAUAUUUGCUGCCAUUGAGUGUUGGAGUUCUUAUUGGACCACACACAUCAGAGUGGAUUAAUUUUUAUGGAUCUUCUUGACUGAUUUUUUUGGAAAUAGUAGUCUGGUUUGUUUUUAAAGUUGACAUAUAUUACAAACACAGCCAUUAUCACAUAUAUCUGGCAUGUUUUCAACUAGUUCCAACUUGUUUAAUUGCUUGAAUGAAGUGAAAUUAGCAUGUCCAAACCGUUUAUGCCAAAGUGAAGAAUCAAUCACUAAAUUGGUCAGUGCCUGAUUGGUUACAUUUUUCCAUUGAAAAGGAAAACUUUUGUGCUUCAUAUCAACAGUCAUCAAUUCUUGAUUAUGUGUGUCCAAUAUAGUGCAACUUUUGUCUUUGAAUAUCAAAGUGUAACAUUUCUCAAUCAAUUGGCCCACACUACUCAAGUUUUGAUCAAUAUCAGGAACAUAAAAAACAUUAGUUAUGUAUUUGGUACCUAAUGGAGUUUGAACAGCAAUCAUGCUAACUCCUUUCACUACCACAUGCUCUCCAUUACCAACUUUAACACUUGAUCUGUAUGCGUCAUUUAGUUCAACAAAGAUACUGGAAUUUGGAGUCAUGUGAUGAGUGCAUCCACUGUCCAGCAACCAAGUUUCAACACUACUGUAGGCUUUAAAAUUGAUAGCUGAAAAUAGAUGCUCUUUCUGAUGUUGUUGUUGAUUUUCAGCCAUCUAUGCUUGAGGCUUUGUUUGCUUCUCCUUCAAAUUUUUACACACUUUUUGAACAUGUCCAAAUUGCUUACAACUUCGGCAUUGAACAUCAGGUCGAUACCAACACCAUUUUGGAGAGUGUCCUGAUUUUUUGCAAUGAACACAUAGAGGAUAAACUCCACUUUUACCAGCAAUCUUAUUGUUUUCCACCUUCUUCUUUUCAUCUUGGUGCUUUCUUACACCAAAACUUGUUUGAGCUUUACGUUUUCCUUCAACAAACAAGGCCCCUUCUACCUGUUCUUCCUAUCUCAUUAGCCUCCUUUACUCAGUAGCUUGCAAGGCAUUAACCAACUCAAACAAGGUUAUAGAAGACACGUCUGUAGAGUCUUCAAGAGAAGAGAUUUUUGCCUCAAGUUUUUUUAGGAAAAUGAUCAGCACCUUCUCCACAACUCUCCUGUCAGGUAAGUCAUCUCCCAAUAGCCUUAUUUGAUUCAUCACUUUCAUCAGCCUAUCAGAAUAUUCUUUGAUAGAUUCUAAGUCUUUCAUCUUCAAGGUUUCAUACUCCCUUCUUAAAUUUAAAAUUUGCAUUUGCCUUGUUCUUGCAUUGCCUCUAAACUCUUCUUGCAAUUUGUCGCAGGCAUCCUUUGCUGUCUCACAAGUCAUAAUCCUGGUGAAUAUUGCAUCAGAAAGGACAUAUUGGAUGCAAGACAAAGCCUUGAACUUUUUUGCAACCUCCUCACUAUGUUGCUUCAAUUGAGCAAUAGUAGGGUUUGUUUUAAGAGGUGGUGGAUCACUUCCUGUCUCUGUUAUUUCCCACAGGUCAUAUGCUUUCAGGUAAGCCUUCAUUUUUGCUGCCCAAAAGUCAUAAUUUUCACCAGUAAACACAGAAGGUAAUGGAGCUGAAAAACCACUUGAAGCCAUCCCUCUCAGGUCUAAUUUUUUUUUUUAGCUGAUAUGGUGAAGGUUUUGGUAGAAGUUCCUCACUUGUUUUCUCUCUUUUUCUAUCUCAGAACCUCUCCUUUUCCUCUAAGAUCUUUUAGCUCUGAUACCACUGAUGGUUUUGUGGAACAAAGAGGAAGAGAAGGACAGAUUUUUCUAGGGAAAAUAUCAGUACAUUAAGCCCCAUGACCUGCUACUAGUCAACAACUUCCUACCAACUACGACCUUACCUAUUGACAGAAUAAACUAUGUUGUGAUAGUCAUUUUAAUUACCAAAAAUAAACAUUACAAGUCAUUAUAAUACAUAUAAUUGCUAUAAAAUAUGACAGCAAAAAUGACAAUAGAUGUCAAUAGAUCGGUGGACUGUAUUGAAGAGGUUGGAGCUAGGAUCGAGUCCAUGCAUAAAAAUCUUGGAAAGCUUCUUAGAGAGAUUAGUUUUUCUAGAAGGACCUAGAAAAAGAAUAACCAGCAAGUGGGUGGAAAAGUAUUCUGUUAGAGAGUAAAAAUGGGGUGAAAAAUCAGUUACAAGUAGCUUAUAAAUAAGGAAGAGUUGGAGGAGAAUAGAAUGCAAAUUAGUGAGUGAAAACUAUAUUGUGGAUAGUACAGCCCUCUCAAAAGGCUGAUUGUAUUCCCGUUCUAUUUUCUGUAAUUCAAUUUCAAUCAAUACAUAUCAUAAUUUUUGUUCAUGUCUUGUGUUUUCAUUAAUCACAGAUAGAUUUUACUAUUAACCUAGGGUGGAACCUAUCAAAGUGAAGUCAAAGCAGUCGAGACCUAGGAAAAUGACUCUCAACGAUCCAGUAUAGUCCUUGGAAGGGAGAAUUGACUGCCUUCAAUUCGAGUUAGGUGCAAUGAAAAUUGAAUUUUAGAACGCAAUGUCUAGAGUAAAGGAAAGGAUCGAUUUGAUGAUGAGGAAAAUGGAUGGGCAGGAAAGAAAGAGGAAGGAAAAAGAGAUGGCAGAGAACUCACCUGAGCCGGUGAUUUCUGAAGCUCCUUUGCCGAUGUAUCUGAAUGGAAACACUAGGAAACUGAAAACCUCACCCAAAG
rnacentral:lncRNA from 1 species